GCUUGCUUCUCUGAUGUUAGCGGCGGACGGGUGAGUAACACGUGGAUAACCUACCUAUAAGACUGGGAUAACUUCGGGAAACCGGAGCUAAUACCGGAUAAUAUUUUGAACCGCAUGGUUCAAAAGUGAAAGACGGUCUUGCUGUCACUUAUAGAUGGAUCCGCGCUGCAUUAGCUAGUUGGUAAGGUAACGGCUUACCAAGGCAACGAUGCAUAGCCGACCUGAGAGGGUGAUCGGCCACACUGGAACUGAGACACGGUCCAGACUCCUACGGGAGGCAGCAGUAGGGAAUCUUCCGCAAUGGGCGAAAGCCUGACGGAGCAACGCCGCGUGAGUGAUGAAGGUCUUCGGAUCGUAAAACUCUGUUAUUAGGGAAGAACAUAUGUGUAAGUAACUGUGCACAUCUUGACGGUACCUAAUCAGAAAGCCACGGCUAACUACGUGCCAGCAGCCGCGGUAAUACGUAGGUGGCAAGCGUUAUCCGGAAUUAUUGGGCGUAAAGCGCGCGUAGGCGGUUUUUUAAGUCUGAUGUGAAAGCCCACGGCUCAACCGUGGAGGGUCAUUGGAAACUGGAAAACUUGAGUGCAGAAGAGGAAAGUGGAAUUCCAUGUGUAGC
rnacentral:rRNA from 1 species